UCGAUUUGGAGUUUGUUGCCUAGAGUGAUGGGCUCCGAAGCUAACGCGAUAAGUCGACCGCCUGGGGAGUACGGCCGCAAGGUUAAAACUCAAAUGAAUUGACGGGGGCCCGCACAAGCGGUGGAGCAUGUGGUUUAAUUCGAUGCAACGCGAAGAACCUUACCUGGUCUUGACAUCCACAGAAUCUUGCAGAGAUGUGAGAGUGCCUUCGGGAACUGUGAGACAGGUGCUGCAUGGCUGUCGUCAGCUCGUGUUGUGAAAUGUUGGGUUAAGUCCCGCAACGAGCGCAACCCUUAUCCUUUGUUGCCAUCGGUUAGGCCGGGAACUCAAAGGAGACUGCCGUUGAUAAAGCGGAGGAAGGUGGGGACGACGUCAAGUCAUCAUGGCCCUUACGACCAGGGCUACACACGUGCUACAAUGGCGUAUACAAAGGGAGGCGACCUCGCGAGAGCAAGCGGACCUCAUAAAGUACGUCUAAGUCCGGAUUGGAGUCUGCAACUCGACUCCAUGAAGUCGGAAUCGCUAGUAAUCGUGAAUCAGAAUGUCACGGUGAAUACGUUCCCGGGCCU
rnacentral:rRNA from 1 species